AACGUAGGUGGCGAGCGUUAUCCGGAUUUACUGGGCGUAAAGCGUGUGCAGGCGGCUUAUCAAGUGGUGUAUGAAAUAUCCAGCUCAACCUGGAGGGGUUAUGCCAGACUGGUAGGCUAGAGUGCGAGAGAGGGGCGUGGAAUUCCGGGUGUAGUGGUGAAAUGCGUAGAGAUCCGGAGGAACCCCAGAGGCGAAGGCGGCGCCCUGGCUCGACACUGACGCUCAGACACGACAGCAUGGGGGAGCGAACGGG
rnacentral:rRNA from 1 species